AAGUCGUAACAAGGUAUCCGUAGGUGAACCUGCGGAUGGAUCAUUAAGAGGUUCGCAGCAGCAGCCCUGUCGCAGACCCCUGUGGUGCAACGAGUGUAGUCUUGGCGGCGAUGUGUACACGCACGCGCCGCCGACGCAGACCAAACCAACCCUAUUCGACUAACCAGCUGUUCAGGUUGCGCUAUCUCGAUAGCACCUCAAUCGAUACAACUGCUAGCAACGGAUCACUCGGCUCUC
rnacentral:misc_RNA from 1 species